rnacentral:tRNA from 1 species
UGGGCACUAGCUCAGUGGUAGAGCUCCCGCUUCGUGUGCGGAAGACCCGGGUUGGAUUCUCGGUUGCUUAC